AGUGAACGCUGGCGGUAGGCCUAACACAUGCAAGUCGAACGGCAGCACAGUAAGAGCUUGCUCUUACGGGUGGCGAGUGGCGGACGGGUGCGUAAUACAUCGGAAUCUACUUUUUCGUGGGGGAUAACGUAGGGAAACUUACGCUAAUACCGCAUACGACCUACGGGUGAAAGCAGGGGAUCUUCGGACCUUGCGCGAUUGAAUGAGCCGAUGUCGGAUUAGCUAGUUGUCGGGGUAAAGGCCCACCAAGGCGACGAUCCGUAGCUGGUCUGAGAGGAUGAUCAGCCACACUGGAACUGAGACACGGUCCAGACUCCUACGGGAGGCAGCAGUGGGGAAUAUUGGACAAUGGGCGCAAGCCUGAUCCAGCCAUACCGCGUGGGUGAAGAAGGCCUUCGGGUUGUAAAGCCCUUUUGUUGGGAAAGAAAAGCAGCAGGUUAAUACCCCGCUGUUCUGACGGUACCCAAAGAAUAAGCACCGGCUAACUUCGUG
rnacentral:rRNA from 1 species